rnacentral:rRNA from 1 species
UACGAAGGGUGCAAGCGUUACUCGGAAUUACUGGGCGUAAAGGGUGCGUAGGUGGUUGUUUAAGUCUGCUGUGAAAUCCCCGGGCUCAACCUGGGAAUGGCAGUGGAUACUGGAUAGCUAGAGUGCGGUAGAGGGUAGUGGAAUUCCCGGUGUAGCAGUGAAAUGCGUAGAUAUCGUGAGGAACACCAGAGGCGAAGGCGGUUUCCUGGACAGUUACUGACGCUCAGGCACGAAAGCAUGGGGAGCAAAAGGG